rnacentral:rRNA from 1 species
AGCGAACGCUGGCGGCAGGCUUAACACAUGCAAGUCGAGCGCCGUAGCAAUACGGAGCGGCAGACGGGUGAGUAACGCGUGGGAACGUACCUUCUGGUUCGGAAUAACUCAGGGAAACUUGAGCUAAUACCGGAUAAGCCCUUCGGGGGAAAGAUUUAUCGCCGGAAGAUCGACCCGCGUAAGAUUAGCUAGUUGGUGAGGUAAUGGCUCACCAAGGCUACGAUCUUUAGCUGGUCUGAGAGGAUGAUCAGCCACAUUGGGACUGAGACACGGCCCAAACUCCUACGGGAGGCAGCAGUGGGGAAUAUUGGACAAUGGGCGCAAGCCUGAUCCAGCCAUGCCGCGUGAGUGAUGAAGGCCUUAGGGUUGUAAGCUCUUUUAGUCAGGGACGAUAAUGACGGUACCUGCAGAAAAGACCCGGCCAACUUCGUG